UACGUAGGGGUGCAAGCGUUAUCCGGAAUUAUUGGGCGUAAAGAGCUCGUAGGCGGCUUGGUCGAAGUCGGGAUGUGAAAACUCCAGCUCAACCUGGAGACGCCACCCGAUACUGCCAUGGCUUGAGUCCGGUGAGGGGACCACAGGAAGUUCCUGGCUGUAGCGGUGAAAUGACGCAGAUAUCAGGAGGAACGACCUGGUGGGUGUAGACAGCUUACUGGACCACUUCUGACGCUGAGACACGAAAGCGUGGGUAGCAAACAGG
rnacentral:rRNA from 1 species